rnacentral:rRNA from 1 species
AGCUUGCUCCCGGAUGUUAGCGGCGGACGGGUGAGUAACACGUGGGUAACCUGCCUGUAAGACUGGGAUAACUCCGGGAAACCGGAGCUAAUACCGGAUAGUUCCUUGAACCGCAUGGUUCAAGGAUGAAAGACGGUUUCGGCUGUCACUUACAGAUGGACCCGCGGCGCAUUAGCUAGUUGGUGGGGUAAUGGCUCACCAAGGCGACGAUGCGUAGCCGACCUGAGAGGGUGAUCGGCCACACUGGGACUGAGACACGGCCCAGACUCCUACGGGAGGCAGCAGUAGGGAAUCUUCCGCAAUGGACGAAAGUCUGACGGAGCAACGCCGCGUGAGUGAUGAAGGUUUUCGGAUCGUAAAGCUCUGUUGUUAGGGAAGAACAAGUGCGAGAGUAACUGCUCGCACCUUGACGGUACCUAACCAGAAAGCCACGGCUAACUACGUGCCAGCAGCCGCGGUAAUACGUAGGUGGCAAGCGUUGUCCGGAAUUAUUGGGCGUAAAGGGCUCGCAGGCGGUUUCUUAAGUCUGAUGUGAAAGCCCCCGGCUCAACCGGGGAGGGUCAUUGGAAACUGGGAAACUUGAGUGCAGAAGAGGAGAGUGGAAUUCCACGUGUAGCGGUGAAAUGCGUAGAGAUGUGGAGGAACACCAGUGGCGAAGGCGACUCUCUGGUCUGUAACUGACGCUGAGGAGCGAAAGCGUGGGGAGCGAACAGGAUUAGAUACCCUGGUAGUCCACGCCGUAAACGAUGAGUGCUAAGUGUUAGGGGUUUCCGCCCCUUAGUGCUGCAGCUAACGCAUUAAGCACUCCGCCUGGGGAGUACGGUCGCAAGACUGAAACUCAAAGGAAUUGAC